UGGCUCAGAUGGUAAAGAACCUGCCUGCAAUGCAGGAGACCCCGGGUUCAACUCCUGG
rnacentral:tRNA from 1 species